GACGCCCUGGGAGGUGACGAGCAGACGCUGUGUGAGAAGAUGACACUCAGAAGCUUGAGGAACAGGCAGAGAUUCAUUAGGAGGAGGAGAGGCUGGGGUGGGUGUGGCAGAAGGAACAGCUGGCACCCAAAUCUCGAGCCUGGAAGGAGUUUUGAGGUUGGUUCAGGAUCUGGGGAGGCGUGAGCCAGAGAGGUAGGCAGGAUCUUCUAAACCAUGAAGACUUCUGGAUUUUAUCCAGGAGAACUUGGAAGGGAGGCAUUUUGGAAAGAACUUCAAGGUCAGGUCUGCAUAUUUACCUGUUCUCCUUGAUCACAGUUUGGAAUAUAGAUUUGGAGGAGGUGGCAAGUGAGAUGGGAAGUGAAGCUGGGUGUGAUACAGAAGGACCAGUUCAGGAGGUUGUUAUGGUAACUCAGGGAAAUGGUGAUGAUGAAGAUGUUCCUGACAAAGGAGGUGGAGGAUGGCUUAGGCUUGAGUGGCCCUGGGGCAGGCGGAGAGAAGCAGGUACUCAGGUGGUAAAUCACAGAGCUCAGUGAUGGGUUAGACUCCGGGGGGCAAGAGAGGGGGUGUCAGAGUUGAUCCCCAGGUUCCUGGCAUGAGCACCUCCUCCUCCACAUCUCCCCGAUAUGCCAUCUCCUCCUCUCUUCCCAGCUCAUCAGAGAAAUGGAGUGCAGGCAACCCAGCAGAUAGAAUGUUGCCGCAUUAAUGCUAUUUUUGUUCAGUAAAACCUAGAGAUAAAAAUCUCUCAACUCGUUAUAUAAGAAGUGGUAAAUGUCAGAAGAUAGAUGUGCUCCAACUUUAGGGCUUCCAAUUUGUUUCUGGUUACGCCGGAUACCAGCGCUUUGCUCUAAAGGGUCACUGGGAAAGGAAGACCAUUCCUUUGACCGACUUGCUGGACUAUGUCCUCCUGGAGAGAGGCGAAUUCUUGUGUGAAGGCUUCAGGGAGGAAACACCAUGCAAAAUCUAUUUUGGACUUUAGGUAGAAAAAUUUGUGCUGACUCCUUUUUGAAUAUUUCUUUCAUGGGUGUGUGUGUGUGUCCAUACACAUACAUACAUAAAAAGAAUAUAUAUAUAAUGUAGAUAUAUAAUUGAGAUAUAACCUGCAUAUGUAAUUUAGAUAUAAUCACCUAUUCAAAGUACACAAAACAAUAGCUAUUUUGUGUUCACAGAGUUGUGCAACCAUCACCACAAGCAAUGUUAGGUACUUCCAUCAUCCCCAGAAGAAACCACUAGCAGUCACUCCCAUUUAUCCCCAAACCCUCCCUUCCCCAUUCUAGGCAAUCAAAUAUUUAUCUCUAUGCAUCUACAGAUUUUCAAAUUCUGGGUAGUUUGUAUAAAUGGAAUCAUACUUCAUAUGGUCUGCUGUGUCUGCCUUCUUUCACUUGGUACAAUGUUUUUGAAGUUCAUCUACUUUACAGUGUGUAUCAGCACUUCUUUUAAUGGCCAAAUAAUAUUCCAUUGUAUGGCUAUACUACAUUUCAUUUAUCUGUUCAUCAGGAACAGACAUUUGGACUGUUCCCACUUUUUGGUUAUAAUGAAUUAUGCUGCCAUGAACAUUCUUGCACACUUUUUUUUUGACAUAUGUUUUCAUUCCUCUUGAGAACAUACCUAAGAGUGGAAUUAUUUCUGGGUGGUUGAAUGUUUCUUUUUAAAAAAAUGUUUCUUAAAGGCAAAGAUAAUACCUGCUUUUAAUUUAUGUGCAUUGAAUAAGUUUUCUUAGACAUAUCUUCAGUAAGGAGAUAAAAAAAAGUAUUGCUAGAGAGUCUGCAACUGUGUUUUAAAAACUGAAAGAAUGUACUUGUAAAAUAUGCUUGUGUGCCCGUGUGUGUGUUAGAUGCUUAAGGAAGCAACAUGUAAAUAAAUGCUAAUCAGUAGAGUAUAAAGGAAGAUUCUAAGUGUAAAGAAAAAGGUUAUUAAGGAGGUCCUGGGACUGAGCUAAAUCAGGGCCUUGCAGGUCCAGCUGAACUUGCUUCUGGCAUCUCUGACUCAGUGCCUCAAAGAAUUAAGGCAACAUCAACCACCCCUGCUACUGCAGGUAGAGUGGGGAUUGGGACAGACUAACCUAGAUGCCCAGGUGUCACACAGCUCUCAUGGUACCAGACCCACCUAUAUCCUGCCACAACGGUGGGCUGAUGAUGGACCAAUAGGCUAACAGUGACUCCACGCACAUCAGGGACGAUGCUAGGAGGGGCACCUGAGCCAUUGGAAAGGCAGGGUGGGAGGGGAUGGCCAGAGAGCAAGGGCUGGAGCAAAAUAGCUUCCCCACUGCAGGGUGGGGCUGGGGCUUCAGUGUAAACACGGAAGCCUCCUGGAUGCUCCACAUGAAGGGGGAAGACCAGCAGAGACACCACAAAAUGACUGCUUCCCACAGGAGCAACCAGGGCAGGAAGGCAAGGACCCUCAAUACCAGAGCACCUGUGCUGCAGCCCUGAGGGCCCUGUGUCCACGACAUGGUGACCAGGCAGAAGCCAGGCAGGCAACACCGGAAGGGGGAAGGACCUGGGCCCUGCAGAACCCACAGCUCCUGCUUCACAUUAAUGGCAGGCACUUCUGGCCCUUGACAUCCAAACUGUGGAGGUUUCAGGAGAGGAAACAUGAACUCCCACUGGUUUAUGGUACUCAUCUUGCAGGAUCACAUUAGCCAAACAUAGCCAUCUUCUUUUUUUCCAUGAAGAGAAACAUCCAGGAAGAGUUGGGUGGCCUCUCCUCAAUCUCUGCUCCUCUCCUGCUGUUGCACCAUAGUUGAUGUUAAAACUAAAAUUAGGCCGUGGGUUCAGGGCCAAAAGCUCUUAAGCCUCCCUUGACAGGACUGGACUCAGAAACCUUGACACACGCAGGGUCAGGAACAGCAGGUGGUGAAGUUCUUCAAAUCUCAGGGCAGGGCCAGAAUCUAGAGCCCAGGCACCAUCAGGAGGACCCAUGCUCAGCCAGCAUCAAAGAAAUAACCUGGAGUCAGUUACCCACGCAGUGUCUGGGCUUCUGCCCUCCUCGAGCAAAGGUGUCCAAUGGGUUGGCUCAUUUCAGGAUGGGCCGGAGCACUGGAUCAGGCCUCCUGGCCUGUUGGGAAACCAAGAGGAGGCUUAGCACCAAGAAGAAAAAGAAUGAAAGUCUCCGCCUUAUCAUGCUGCUGAUUCUUGGGGUUUCAGUGCAUUUCACAGGGAGGCCCCUCUGGACUUCUAGUCCCUGGUGUGGGGACAGCAGGACAGACAGAAGUGCACAGAGAAGCCCAGCAGACACGGGGUUUUGAGCCCAUGUGGGACGGGCAUCAGGUGCUGACCCGUCAGAGCCUCGUGUGUUGGGGGAGUGGGUAGGAGGAGGCCUUGGACACCUGUGACCCCAGGGGCUACUCUGCCCUUUGCCACCAUGUUGUCACCUUCUGCUUUCAUGAGUUUGACUCACCAUAGUUUGUUUAGCAGCAAGUGGAGCCGGGGGUGGGGGCAGAAAUCUGUUACCAGCUCAAGUACAUUUUGCUCUGUUAAUCAGGAUUUUAAAAAAUUAUCUAUUCCAUUCCACAGAGAAGUUGGCAGAGGCUCUCAACUGUUUUGAGAGAAUGUAGCCACCAGACCAUCUGGGGCUGACAUUUCCAUCCCAGCAGUCAGGAGUGCUUAUGGCAGGGGCUCUACGGAUGAUCAGAGCCCAAGGCUCUGCAGGACCCCUGGGUGGUAGUGGGGCUUACAAAGCGGCUUCUCUACCAGUGAGCUCGGAACAGAGCCCUCUGCCCUGCAGCCUUUCCCAGGCUCUCCUCUCAGAGACACAUGCUCUAAGAGAAGGUAUCUUGUGAUAUUAGUGAUGGACGCUGACUCUGAGAAUAUCUAAAACCCUCCAUGCUUGCGGAGCCUCUUUUUGUUAAAUAAAAGCUAGGACCACAAGAGACUAAGAUGAAAGUACAUGUGUAUGUUUACAUGUGAAGCAAGAGCAAUUGUGUAGCUAACAAGACUGGGGAAUUAGGAAUUCUUAAUAAUGAGGUCAGCCAAGGGCAGUUAAGGGAAGGACCCAAAGCAGCCUAGCAUCACCGAUCUGUCCCUCCAGGCCUCCAGAACACUGGCAGAGCCAAAGUCCACCUAAUGGUUAUUACCGCUAUUGAAGCCAGCGUCCCAGGGCUGCAGGCCUCAUCCUAAUUAACCACAAAGCAGUCCUCAUGGAUGCCAGGCAGCUCAUGUCAAGACACACAAGACUGGCUGCCGCCCUAAUUACCUUCCAGGCAAACCUCUGCACCAUAGCCACGCAGGUUCACACCCCACACUCUGCACAGGUUGAGCGCUCUUGAACAGCCAUGUGUCCCCAAAAGGCAGUACUUUCUUCCUGUUUAUUCUUGUCACUAGCUUUCCUCUUUCCCACCCAAGAUGAGCACAACUGGGACCAGAACUUGAUCCCUGGGAAAACUGCUACAUGGGAGCUCAUACCCACCCUGCUCUCGCUCUCCCCUCUGUCCUUGUUCAUGAGCCAUGGACCAAGGACACAAGGAAAGCCAGAAUGAAUCAAAGUAAAUAAGAACAGAUGUAUCACAUAUACAUGUUUCCGAGCUGAGACAGUGAGAAGCCUAGCUCUAAGAUGAUAACUGCAGUUUACAAUUAGAAAGCAAUUCUGCUCAAAUGUAUUUGUUGAGGGUCUCGCCUGGGGACGGGGAUACUGAGACCUGGUCUCUGUCUUCCAGGAUUCACCAUCCAGACAGGCAGCCUCCAAGGUAGUGUGAUAAAGUGUGAAAGAAGCUGGUGCAGCCAGUACCAGAUGCCUUCCUGGAGGAGGUGACGCUCCAACUGACUUUUGAUGGAAUAGCAAGAGCUGCUUAGACUAAGAAAUAAAGGAGGACGGGUCCUAACAAAGGGAGGACCCUGCAGGGUCUCAGAAGCGCUAAACAGCAUCAAUAUCAAGUAUUUCUUAAAAGCUAGAUGGAGUUCCCGUCGUGGCGCAGUGGUUAACAAAUCCGACUAGGAACCAUGAGGUUGCAGGUUCGUUCCCUGCCCUCGCUCAGUGGGUUAAUGAUCCAGCGUUGCCGUGAGCUGUGGUGUAGGUCACAGAUGCGGCUCAGGUCCCGCAUUGCUGUGGCUCUGGUGUAGGCUGGCGGCUACAGCUCCGAUUAGACCCCUAGCCUGGGAACCUCCAUAUGCCACAGAAGUGGCCCAAGAAAUG
rnacentral:lncRNA from 1 species